rnacentral:rRNA from 1 species
CCUACGGGUGGCAGCAGUGGGGAAUAUUGGGCAAUGGAGGCAACUCUGACCCAGCAACGCCGCGUGAAUGAUGAAGGUCUUCGGAUUGUAAAGUUCUGUGAUGGGGGAUGAACACAAUGACGGUACCCCAAUAGCAAGCCACGGCUAACUACGCGCCAGCAGCCGCGGUAAUACGUAGGGGGCAAGCGUUCUCCGGAAUGAAUGGGGGUAAAGGGAGCGUAGGUGGUUUAGUAAGUUGGCGGUGUAAUUCCGGGGCUCAACCCCGGCGCUGCCGCGGAAACUCUUAGGCUAGAGUGCAGGAGAGGUAAGUGGAAUUCCUAGUGUAGCGGUGAAAUGCGUAGAUAUUAGGAGGAACAUCAGGGGCGAAGGCGGCUUACUGGACUGUAACUGACGCUGAGGCACGAAAGCGUGGGGAGCAAACAGGAUUAGAUACCCGGGUAGUC